rnacentral:snRNA from 1 species
GGAAUUGAACCUUGGACCUCAACACUGAGCUGUUGCCAGGAUUGAUGUAGUUGGCUAGAGAGGUGUCCUCUUAUUCCAUGUAUGUCUUCCCUACAGCUGUGUGUUCCAUUGAAGAGGACAACCACCCCCAGUAGAGGAGGACCUUUUCCUUGGUCAGGGGUACACAAAUGGCAGUGCUCUCCUCCUAAAACUUCCAAAUGAGCUGUCAAAAAACAUUCCCAAUUCCAUGUAUGCUAUUAGCAAAAACAAAAGUUAAUACUAUAAGCCUCCUCUUU